rnacentral:rRNA from 1 species
GACGAACGCUGGCGGCGUGCUUAACACAUGCCAGUCGAACGGAAAGGCCCUGCUUUUGUGGGGUGCUCGAGUGGCGAACGGGUGAGUAACACGUGAGUAACCUGCCCUUGACUUUGGGAUAACUUCCGGAAACUGGGGCUAAUACCGGAUAGGAGCUCCUGCUGCAUGGUGGGGGUUGGAAAGUUUCGGCGGUUGGGGAUGGACUCGCGGCUUAUCAGCUUGUUGGUGGGGUAGUGGCUUACCAAGGCUUUGACGGGUAGCCGGCCUGAGAGGGUGACCGGCCACAUUGGGACUGAGAUACGGCCCAGACUCCUACGGGAGGCAGCAGUGGGGAAUAUUGCACAAUGGGCGGAAGCCUGAUGCAGCAACGCCGCGUGCGGGAUGACGGCCUUCGGGUUGUAAACCGCUUUCGCCUGUGACGAAGCGUGAGUGACGGUAAUGGGUAAAGAAGCACCGGCUAACUACGUG